UACGAAGGGGGCUAGCGUUGUUCGGAAUUACUGGGCGUAAAGCGCACGUAGGCGGACUUAUAAGUCAGGGGUGAAAUCCCGGGGCUCAACCUCGGAACUGCCUUUGAUACUGUUAAUCUAGAGUCCGAGAGAGGUGAGUGGAAUUCCGAGUGUAGAGGUGAAAUUCGUAGAUAUUAGGAGGAACACCAGUGGCGAAGGCGGCUCACUGGCUCGAUACUGACGCUGAGGUGCGAAAGCGUGGGGAGCAAACAGG
rnacentral:rRNA from 1 species